AGCCUUAGGGAAACUUGUUAAAAUACCACAGUGACCAAGAAUUCUACAUUCACAGGUUGAGCUUCAUAAAUUCUUGGCUCCAGAAAUCAAGACCUGCUGAUGAAGUGAGCUCCUGCUGGUUCAAUAAGGACAUUCCAAAAAGAAUCUAGGUUUGGGAUGCUGAGGAUAUGAGUCACUGCCUUGGAAGAUCCAGAUAUCUUGUUAACAAAGCUUUUUAAAGUCAGGGAGGAAAGCCCCAAAUUGAGUUAAAGGAAAUAUUUCAAUUUCAGUUUACGGAGUACUUCUAAAUGAAGGGGAAAUGUCAGAGAAUUAUUGUUUUCACUGUCAUAAGAUAAUGUCCUCUAAAAAAGUUGAAUUUGGAACAGUUCAUGAAAAUAAUCUGAAGGGCAUCAUCAUAAAUCUGGGAAGUUAUUUCCUGUUUUUAGCUGGUUUGGCUUAAAAUUGAAUUGUAGUCCAUAAAAAUGAAUGCCAGGUCUAAUUUUUAUUUGGCUCUCAGAGUCCCUUUUUUCAAUAAACUCAUUCCAUUUCAAAUUACUUCUAUCUAAGCUAAAUUAUUCAUAAGACAGGUUAUAGUUGAUCUUUCAUGUGGUUGAUCUUACUAUCCGUGAAUUAUUUUUCUAUGUUAUCAUCUUCUGUUUUUGUUUUACUCACAUGCAACUUGAAUCCUCCCAAGAGCUGGUGGGGAGGGAGGGGCGGAUGCCACGUAAACCUACCGUUAAUUGCCUCUCUUCCUUCUUCUGGCGAAUGUUUGAUUCAGCUACAAAAGCAAGUUCAUAUGUUCACUCAGCAAACAUUGUUGAGUAUCACUGUUUUCAAGGAGUGUACUCUCAGAAAGGAAAUAAUUAUACACUGUACACAAACAAUUUAAGGCAGGAUGUGGCACAACAAACUAGAAGAAUCUUGAGGAGGACCUAUUUUAUCCAGGAAAUGGAGGAAAAGAGUUUCAAGGUGGGGAGGGCAUACUAAGAAGAACCACAUGGGCAAAGUCAAGGAGGUAGGAAAGCAAAGAAUAUCUUUUGUUCCUGUUUUUGUUUUUGUCAUUUUAGGGCUGCACCUGAGGCAUAUGGAAACUCCCAGGUUAGGGCUCCAACCAGAGCUGUAGCUACAGGCCUAUACCACAGCCACAGCCACAACCACAGCAAUGUGGGAUCUGAGCCAUGUCUGUGACCUAUACCACAGCUCCCCACAACAAUGGCUCCUUAACUCACUGAGCGAGGCCAGGAAUCAAACCCACAUCCUCAUGGAUAGUAGUCAGGUUUGUUACCACUGAGCCACAGCGGGAAUACUUUUGGAGUAGGCAGUGAGCCAUCACUGAAAUUUUUAGCCUGGGUCAUAUGCAUGCUCAGAGCAUCCAUUUGGAAUAGCAACAGUGGAUACUUAUUGAGGGCUUCUAAGUUUCUAGGCACUGGACUACCCAGCAGUGGACAAAACAAACAAAAUCCCUGACUUCAUGGAGCUUAUACUCUAGGAGAAAAUGAUAAUCAAUAAAAAACCAAAACAAAUAAAACAUAUAGCAAUUUAGUUAUAAUAAAAAAACAAAUAAAACUAUGUAAAAAGCUAGAAGGGGAAAGGAGUUGUGUCCAUGCCUGAUGCAUUAAAGAGAGUGGUUGGGGAAGGCUUCCAUCAAAGGUUACAUUCCAGCUAAGGCCUGAAGUGAGAGCUUGAGCUCUGUGGACUAAAUGGCAGCAGCAAAAACAAAGGCUCCCUGGUGGGAAUAUGUUUGGAAUGUCAGGGGAACAGCAAGAAGGCCUGUGUGCCUGGAGCUGGAUGAGUGAGGGUGAAGAGGAGGGAGUGACGCUAGAGGUGGGGCCUGAUCAUGGAGCCUUAAUCACCACUUUGGCUUUUACUUUGAGAUAGGAAGUUCCAUUGGAAGGUUUGAAGAGAUGAGUCUCAUGACCUGACGUAAGACUUUAUGGCCACUCUGGCUGACCGGAAGAUUAUUUACCCCAAAGAUUCUAACUACAUUGUUUUAAGGAAGGGCCUGAGCAUCUUAGUAUUAAAAGAGUCCCAGAUUGAGUACCACAUUGAGCAGCACUCCUCUAGAGCUUGCAAUGUGUUCUCACAUUAAUUCCCUUAAUUUGAGUCUCUCAACAACCCUAUGCAAUGUGUAGUGAGGAAACUAAGGCUCAGAGAGGCUUAUGUGACUUUCAAGGACACAUGGCAUGGAGGGUGUGUAGCUAAGAUUUAAACCUAAGUUGUUCACCCUCACACCAAGCACAAAAAUAAACUCAAAAUGGCUUAAAGACAAACGUAGGACAAGACACCAUCAAAUUCCUAGAAGAGAACAUAGGCAAAACAUCCUCUGACAUCAACCUUACAAAUGUUUUCUUAGAGCAGUCUCCCAAGGCAACAGAAAUAGAAUCAAAAAUAAACCAAUGAAACUUAAUCAAACUGACAAGAUUUUGCACAGCAAAGGAAGCCAUAAAAAAAAAAAAAAAAAAAAAGACAACCUGCAGAAUGGGAGAAAAUAGUUUCAAAUGAUGCAACCGACAAGGGCUUAAUCUCUAAAAUAUACAAACUUAUACAACUCAACAGCAAAAAAACCGACAACCCAAUUGAAAAAUGGGCAAAAGACCUGAAUAGAUAUUUCUCCAAAGAUAUAUGGAUGGCCAAAAAACACAUGAAAAAAUGCUCAACAUCACUGAUUAUUAGAGAAAUGCAAAUCAAAACUACUAUGAUGUAUCACCUCACACCAGUCAGAAUGGCCAUCACUAAUAAAUCCACAAAUAACAAAUGCUGGAAAGGGUGUGGAUAAAAGGCAACCCUCUUACACUGUUGGUGGGAAUGUAAAUUGGUACAACCACUAUGGAAAACAGUUUGUAGGUAUCUCUGAAAACUAUAGAACUACCAUACGACCCAGCAAUCCCAUUCUUGGGCAUAUAUCCAGACAAAACUUUCCUUGAAAAAGAUAUGUGCACUCAUAGGUUCUUUGCAGCACUAUUCACAAUAGCCAAGACAGGGAAACAGCCUAAAUGUCCAUCAAUAAUGAAUGGAUUAAGACGUGGUAUAUAUACACAAUUGAAUACUACUCAGCCAUAAAAAGGAACAAAAUAAUGCCAUUGCAGCAACAUGGGUAGAACUGAAGACUCUCAUACUAAGUGAAGCAAGUCGAAAGAGAAAGACAAAUUCCACAUGAUAUCAAAAGUCUGGAAUCUAUUAUAUGGCACAAAUGAACCCACAGGAAAGAAACAUGUGGACUUGGAUAACAGACUUGUUGUUGCCAAAGGGGAGGGGGAGGGAGUGGGAUGGACUGGGAAUUUGGGGUUAAUAGAUGCAAACUGUUGCAUUUGGAGUGGAUAAGCAAUGAGAUCCUGCUCUAUGGCACUGGGAACUACAUCUAGUCACUUGUGAUGGAGCAUGAUGUAUAAUGUGAGAAAAAGAAUGGGUGUGUGUGUGUGUGUGUGUGUGUGAGAGAGAGAGAGAGAGAGACUGAGUCACUUUGCUGUACAGUAGAAAAUUGACAGAACAUUGUAAACCAACUAUAAUGGAAAAAAAUUAAAUCAUUUACAAAAAAAUAAACCUAAGCUGUUGUCUCUUAGUCUAGCAGUGAUCUUUCCAUCACACCACUGAUCCUUUCGGUGAGAACUUUGUUUCUAUCAUUUUGCCCAUAAUAUAUAGGAAUUUUUGUGAAUUUAUCAUACAUGGUACAAAUAUGCAGGUAUUAUGUCUGAUAGUUUUUGGUUAAUACUAUCUUUAUGCAGCACUGAUUCCAUGGUCUGUCAUCUUAACUCCCCUCUUGCCAUUAGAUCGUGUUACUUUUUUGCCAAGAAAUAAAAAAAAAAGGAUAUAUAUUCAACUUCAUCUAUGUUCUGUUCUUGUUAUUUGCCCAAAAUGUCAAAUUCCCAUUGAUGCAACCACUAUGGAAAACAGUAUAAAAGUUCUUGAAAAAAUUUAAAAAUAGAAUUACCACACGAUCCAGCAAUCCCAUUUCUGGAUAUCUAGUCAAAGGAAACAAAAUCACUAUCUUUUUUGUUUGUUUGUUUGUUUGUUUGUUUGUUUGUUUUAGCAUAUGAGGUUCCCAGGCUAGGGGUCUAAUCUGAGCUACAGCUGCCAGCCUACACCAGAGCCACAGCAACACCAGAUCCUUAACCCACUGAGCAAGGCCAGAGAUCAAACCCACAACCUCAUGGUUUCUAGUCGGAUCCGUUUCUGCUGCACUAUGAUGGGGACUCCCAAAAUCACUAUCUUGAAAAGAUAGCUACACCCCACUGUUCAUGGCUGCAUUAUUAACAAUAGACAAGACAGGUAAACAACCUAAGUGUUUGGAGUUCCCAACGUGGCUCAAUGGUUAACAAAUCCGAUUAGGAACCAUGAGGUUGUGGGUUCAAUCUCUGGUGGGUGGGUUAAGGAUCCGCCGUUGCCGUGAGCUGUGGCAUAGGUUGCAGACGCACCUCAGAUCUAGUGUUGCUGUGGCUGUAGUGUGGGCCGGUGGCUACAGCUCUGAUUGGACCCUAGCCUGGAAACCUCCAUAUGCCGCAGGUGUGGCCCUAGAAAAAAAGGCAAACAAACAAACAAACAAAAAAACACAGAAGUGUUUAUUGAUGAAUGAAUAAAAGAGAUGUGAUAUACAUAUAUAGGAAUAUUAUUCAUUAAAAAGAAGGAAAUUCUGCUAUUUUAAACAACAUGGCUGGACUUGAGGACAUUAUGCUAAGUGAAAGAAGUCAGACAGAGGAAGACAAAUACAGUAUGAUAUCACUUGUAUGUGAAAUCUUUAAAGCCCAAACUCAUAAAUACAGAGAACAUAUUGGUGGUUUGCAGAGAUGUGAUGAUGGAUGUUAACUAAACUCACUGUGGUAAUCACUUUGUAAGAUAUACAUAUAUCAAAUUCUUAUGUUGCACACGUUAAACUAAUACAAUGUUAUACAUCGAUUAUAGCUCAAUUUUAAAAACUGUCAAAUUCCUAUUUCACUUUUUUGCAACCCUAAACUUGGUAUGGCUCCCCACCAGGUGAUCUCACUGGUAACUAUCAUAUCUAAUCAGCAUAACUGUGUAAGUUACAAAAACAAGAAAUGCCCAUCAGAGUUAUUUUUAAUGUACAGGUAUACACUUUUAAAUAUAAGCAGACAUUUUGGGAGUUCCUGUGGUGGCUCAGUGGUAAUGAAUACGACUAGUGUCCAUGAGGAUGCAAGUUCAAUCCCUGGCCUCUCUCAGUGGGUUGAGGAUCAGGCACUGCUGUGAGCUGUGGUGUAUGUUGGCAGCUGAAGCUCUGAUUCAACUCCUAGCCUGGGAACUUCCAUAUACUGCGGGCGUGGCCCUAAAAAGACAACCAACAAACAAACAAAGAUAAGUCUUUUAGAUGUCAUCCUUAGGGUGAAAUUCUAUGACUAAUUUAAAUAGAGUAAAUUGAAGUAAUAAUGUUGAUUAUGAAAGUUGUUAAUUUUAUGUAACAAGAUUAUUGAGAACUUUCAAAUAGUUAAAUGUAUCGGGAAAUAAUUGAAAACACAGUUAUAAGAAAGAUUGAGGAGUUCCUGUCGUGGCUCAGUGGAAACAAAUCUGACUAGUAUCCAUGAGGAUGCAGGUUCAGUCCCUGGCCUCGCUCAGUGGGUUAAGGAUCUGGGGUGAUUUGACCCAUAGCCUGGGAACCUCCAUGUGCUGCAGGUGCGGCCCUAAAAAG
rnacentral:lncRNA from 1 species